rnacentral:rRNA from 1 species
GACGAACGCUGGCGGCGUGCCUAACACAUGCAAGUCAACUUGAGGGAAGGAGCAAUCUGACCUGAUGGUGGCGCAAGGGUGCGUAACGCGUAAGUAACUUGCCCAAGGUAAGGAAUAACGUCGAGAAAUCGGCGCUAAUACCUCAUAAUGCAGCGGAUCCGCAUGGAUAUGUUGUUAAAGGUUUACCGCCUUGGGAUAGGCUUGCGUCUGAUUAGCUAGUUGGUGUGGUAAUGGCACACCAAGGCUACGAUCAGUAACUGGUCUGAGAGGAUGAUCAGUCACACUGGAACUGAGACACGGUCCAGACUCCUACGGGAGGCAGCAGUGAGGAAUAGUUGGGCAAUGCACGAAGUGUGACCCAGCAACGCCGCGUGGAGGAUGAAGGUAUUCUAUAUCGUAAACUCCUGUGAGAGCAGACGAAAGACAGAUUAUUAAUUGGAUGACUGUAUGCUCAGAGGAA